UACUCAAGGUUUUCCUUCAACACGUAAAUAUCUUUCGCCUUUUACUAAAGAUAUCCGUGGAGGGGAACCGCUAUUGAGCUAAUCGAAUUUUUCUCAGUCCUGCGUCAGCGGGACU
rnacentral:snRNA from 1 species